rnacentral:rRNA from 1 species
AGAGCGAACGCUGGCGGCAGGCUUAACACAUGCAAGUCGAGCGGGCGUAGCAAUACGUCAGCGGCAGACGGGUGAGUAACGCGUGGGAACAUACCUUUUGGUUCGGAACAACACAGGGAAACUUGUGCUAAUACCGGAUAAGCCCUUACGGGGAAAGAUUUAUCGCCGAAAGAUUGGCCCGCGUCUGAUUAGCUAGUUGGUGAGGUAACGGCUCACCAAGGCGACGAUCAGUAGCUGGUCUGAGAGGAUGAUCAGCCACAUUGGGACUGAGACACGGCCCAAACUCCUACGGGAGGCAGCAGUGGGAAUAUUGGACAAUGGGCGCAAGCCUGAUCCAGCCAUGCCGCGUGAGUGAUGAAGGCCCUAGGGUUGUAAAGCUCUUUUGUGCGGGAAGAUAAUGACGGUACCGCAAGAAUAAGCCCCGGCUAACUUCGUGCCAGCAGCCCGC